CCUAAUACUAGGGUUUUUGGCUUUUGCCGUAACACGAAGCCCUCCGUCCUCUUAUCGCUCGCGUCCCAACAAUGGCGAAGAACAGGAACAAGAAGAACCAUAAAGGCGUUGCUUCAAUGGACAUCACGGAACCAACAGUUUCAGAUUUUCCUCAAGAUAUGGACACCUCAGAACCUGGAGCACGAAGUUCUUUUUCUACUUCAAGAAAAAUAAAGGGAAGACCUAUGAAGAGAUCGAAAAAUGUCCGGAAGAAGAAAGCAUUAGCAAAAGCAAUAGCAUCAAAUGAAAAGUCUGUUGAGAAAGUUUUGAAGAAUGACAGCAAAACAAUCAGAACUCAAUCUGCGAAAGCUCUAUAUGACUAGUAAGAGGAACCUCCAGUCUUGACCAAAGUAUACAUUUUCACAGACAUUUUGGAAGUAUUAAUUAAUUUCUCUUGCUGUAAAGUGUAAUAUGAUACUCCAAUCCAGCCAAUAUAGUUCAUACAUAGAUUUGCAAAUUUUACUUAGAUCUGAUACUCUUUAGUGUGGCAAUUUCCUAGUAUAUUACGCUGUGUUAAUUAAGCCCACAACAAGAACUCUAUAAAAGGAGUGUUGAUAAGGCCCGGCUCAUUUCGACACUUGGGCACAACCUUUUCUUGAUGUCCGGCCCAAUGUGGACCUGACAUUUGACAACCAUGUGAAACGAUGCCGUUUCUUAGUGAAUACCGACAUACCGUUCAAAUCGGUCGCAACAUAUUAUCACUGUCAAGUGUUAACUAUCUCUUAAUAAGAGAAAAAUCUCCCGCUUCAGCGCGAUUUACAGCCACAGCUCACACACAUCAAUUUUCUUCUCCAUCUCUCUCUGGAAAUGCAAUCGACGAGUUUGGUUGCAGUCCACUCUGUUAGUUCUUGUGCUUACACUCAGCGAGGACAUCAUGGGAAAUUUACGGUGCCUGUUGAAAUUUUAAGAAAGCGCUCCAAACCGGGCAGUUACUGCGGAGAUUUCGUUUCAUUUUCAAGGAUUAAUGGUCAUUAUAGAAGCUUUCGAGUUAAUGCAGUUGUCGAUUCCAUGGAAGUGAUGAAUUUGGUUGCAAUAGACACAUCAGAGGCUGCAAUGAUGAAAAAUAUAUUGGAAGGAGCCACUUCUGCUUAUACUUUGGCCGAAGGAAGCCUGGGAGAUUUUUUUGGAGGCUUCCUAUAUUCAGCCGGACAGCAAGCAAAUGAAGCUGUUCAAGGCCAGCUGUCAGCUCUUAGUUUCACUAGCUUGGCAGUUAUUUUUGGAGCAGGACUUGCAACUAGCCUAUCUCCUUGUACAUUAAGUGUUCUACCAUUGACCCUUGGUUACAUUGGAGCAUUUGGCUCAGGAAAGAGCAGGGCUGAGAUCAUUGGAGAUUCUGUUGCAUUUGCUCUGGGAUUGGCAACCACACUAGCUCUUCUCGGCAUUGUUGCUUCAUUCGCUGGAAAGGCAUAUGGACAGAUAGGUCAGGGAUUACCAUUGGCAGCUUCUGUUUUGGCAGUAAUUAUGGGUCUGAAUCUCCUUGAGAUAAUUCAAUUGCAAUUUCCCUCUUUUCUAGACAAUUUUGACCCCCGCUCGGCUGCAGCAAGUUUCCCUUCAAGUGUCCAAGCAUAUUUAGCUGGGCUUACAUUUGCUCUAGCUGCAUCACCUUGCAGUACACCGGUACUGGCCACUAUACUGGGAUAUGUGGCUACAUCUAAGGAUCCGGUUAUAGGGGGCAGCCUACUUUUGACAUACACAACUGGCUAUGUUGCCCCUUUACUGAUUGCUGCUUCUUUCGCUGGAGCCUUGCAGAAUUGACAUUUAGAUAUAUCUGCAGAGCCUGCUUUCAUUCCGCAAGUUCUCUGCAUGGAUUAAUCCAAUAAGUGGUGCACUCCUGUUAGGAGGGGGCGUAUAUACUUUCUUGGAUAGGCUCUUCCCAGUCUCGAUGGCAAUGUAAGAGAUACUAAUUUGUUAUUAUAUAUUAAAAUAAUAAGCGCACUAAUAGGCAUAUUUUCCUUGUAAUCAUAUGACUUACAGAACAUAAAAUCGUCUAAAUAAAAAGAAAAAAAAACCUUCCAUCUAUAA